rnacentral:rRNA from 1 species
AUUGAACGCUGGCGGCAUGCUUUACACAUGCAAGUCGAACGGCAGCGCGGGCUUCGGCCUGGCGGCGAGUGGCGAACGGGUGAGUAAUGCAUCUGAACGUGCCCAGUAGUUGGGGAUAGCCCGGCGAAAGCCGGAUUAAUACCGCAUACGACCUGAGGGUGAAAGCGGGGGCCCGAAAGUCCUCGCCCUAUUGGAUCGGCCGAUUUCUGCUUAGCUAGUUGGUGGGUUAAAGGCUUACCAAGGCGACGAUCCGUAGCUGGUCUGAGAGGACGACCAGCCACACUGGGACUGAGACACGGCCCAGACUCCUACGGGAGGCAGCAGGGGGGAAUUUUGGACAAUGGGGGCAACCCUGAUCCAGCCAUGCCGCGUGCGGGAAGAAGGCCUUCGGGUUGUAAACCGCUUUUGUUCGGGAAGAAAUCCUCUGGGCUAAUACCCCGGGGGGAUGACGGUACCGGAAGAAUAAGCACCGGCUAACUACGUG